GGGCACGUGGUGUAGUUGGUUAUCACGCUCGCUUAGCACAUCCAUGAGAAGCUUGCGAGAGGGGUCCGGUUCAAUCCCGGACGUGUCCA